rnacentral:rRNA from 1 species
UGAGGAAUAUUGGUCAAUGGGCGAGAGCCUGAACCAGCCAAGUAGCGUGCAGGAUGACGGCCCUAUGGGUUGUAAACUGCUUUUAUAAGGGAAUAAAGUGAGUCUCGUGAGACUUUUUGCAUGUACCUUAUGAAUAAGGACCGGCUAAUUCCGUGCCAGCAGCCGCGGUAAUACGGAAGGUCCGGGCGUUAUCCGGAUUUAUUGGGUUUAAAGGGAGCGUAGGCCGGAGAUUAAGCGUGUUGUGAAAUGUAGACGCUCAACGUCUGCACUGCAGCGCGAACUGGUUUCCUUGAGUACGCACAAAGUGGGCGGAAUUCGUGGUGUAGCGGUGAAAUGCUUAGAUAUCACGAAGAACUCCGAUUGCGAAGGCAGCUCACUGGAGCGCAACUGACGCUGAAGCUCGAAAGUGCGGGUAUCGAACAGGAUUAGAUACCCUGGUAGUCCGCACGGUAAACGAUGGAUGCCCGCUGUUGGUCUGAACAGGUCAGCGGCCAAGCGAAAGCAUUAAGCAUCCCACCUGGGGAGUACGCCGGCAACGGUGAAACUCAAAGGAAUUGACGGGGGCCCGCACAAGCGGAGGAACAUGUGGUUUAAUUCGAUGAUACGCGAGGAACCUUACCCGGGCUUGAAUUGCAGAGGAAGGAUUUGGAGACAAUGACGCCCUUCGGGGCCUCUGUGAAGGUGCUGCAUGGUUGUCGUCAGCUCGUGCCGUGAGGUGUCGGCUUAAGUGCCAUAACGAGCGCAACCCCUCUCCUUAGUUGCCAUCAGGUCAUGCUGGGCACUCUGGGGACACUGCCACCGUAAGGUGUGAGGAAGGUGGGGAUGACGUCAAAUCAGCACGGCCCUUACGUCCGGGGCUACACACGUGUUACAAUGGCAGGUACAGAGAGACGGUUGUACGUAAGUACGAUCAAAUCCUUAAAGCCUGUCUCAGUUCGGACUGGGGUCUGCAACCCGACCCCACGAAGCUGGAUUCGCUAGUAAUCGCGCAUCAGCCAUGGCGCGGUGAAUACGUUCCC